GAGACACCUUUAUGGGACAAGACUUGUUUCAGUGGGGCUUUGGUGCUCACUGAGUCUGCCCCUUGAGUGUGUCCCU
rfam:Myotis davidii contig14964, whole genome shotgun sequence.